rnacentral:rRNA from 1 species
CAGGAGUCGGGAACCCCGGGAACUGGGGAUAAUACCGGAUAGAUCAUCUGUGCUGGAAGGCUGGGUGGUUGAAACUUCCGGGGCUUUUGGAUGGGUCUGCGGCUGAUUAGGUUGUUGCCGGUGUAACGUACCGUCAAGCCUGUAAUCAGUACGGGUUGUGGGAGCAAGAGCCCGGAGAUGGAUUCUGAGACACGAAUCCAGGCCCUACGGGGCGCAGCAGGCGCGAAAACUCUACAAUGCAGGCAACUGCGAUAGGGGAACAUCGAGUGAUCCUCAUAUUGGGGGUCUGUCCACCCGUCUAAAAAACGGGUGUUAGCAAGGGCCGGGCAAGACCGGUGCCAGCCGCCGCGGUAAUACCGGCGGCUCGAGUGGUGGCCGAUAUUAUUGAGUCUAAAGGGUCCGUAGCCGGCUUUGCAAGUCUCUCGGGAAAUCCAGCGGCUUAACCGUUGGUCGUCCGGGGGGUACUACAUUGCUUGGGACUGGGAGAGGUAGGAGGUACUCAGGGGGUAGGAGUGAAAUCCUGUAAUCCUUUGGGGACCACCGGUGGCGAAGGCGUCCUACCAGAACAGGUCCGACGGUGAGGGACGAAAGCUAGGGGCACGAACCGGAUUAGAUACCCGGGUAGUCCUAGCCGUAAACGAUGCUCGCUAGGUGUCACAACAGUCGUGAAUUGUUGUGGUGCCGUAGGGAAGCCGUGAAGCGAGCCACUUGGGAAGUACGACCGCAAGGUUGAAACUUAAAGGAAUUGGCGGGGGAGCAC